GCGCACGGGUGCGUAACACGUAUGUAGCCUACCUUUGUCAGGGGGAUAGCCUCUCGAAAGAGAGGUAAGCCCGCAUAAAAUCACAGCACAGCAUUGUGGAAUGAUCAAAUAUUUAUAGGACGAAGAUGGGCAUGCGGAACAUUAGCUAGUUGGUAAGGUAACGGCUUACCAAGGCUACGAUGUUUAGGGGAUCUGAGAGGAUGACCCCCCACACUGGUACUGAGACACGGACCAGACUCCUACGGGAGGCAGCAGUAAGGAAUAUUGGUCAAUGGGCGGAAGCCUGAACCAGCCAUGCCGCGUGCAGGAAGACGGCCUACGGGUUGUAAAACUGCUUUUAUACGGGAAUAAACCCUGGUACGUGUACCAGGGCUGAAUGUACUGUAAGAAAUAAGGAUCGGCUAACUCCGUGCCAGCAGCCGGGUAAUACGGAGGAUCCAAGCGUUAUCCGGAUUUAUUGGGGUUUAAAGGGUGCGUAGGCGGCCUGUUAAAGUCAGGGGUGAAAGACGGUAGCUCAAUUAUCGAGGUGCCUUGAUACUUGAUGGGCUUGAAUACACUAGAGGGU
rnacentral:rRNA from 1 species